rnacentral:rRNA from 1 species
ACGAACGCUGGCGGCAUGCCUAACACAUGCAAGUCGAACGAGACCUUCGGGUCUAGUGGCGCACGGGUGCGUAACGCGUGGGAACCUGCCCUUAGGUUCGGAAUAACUCCCCGAAAGGGGUGCUAAUACCGGAUAAUGUCUUCGGACCAAAGAUUUAUCGCCUUUGGAUGGGCCCGCGUUGGAUUAGCUAGUUGGUAGGGUAAAAGCCUACCAAGGCGACGAUCCAUAGCUGGUCUGAGAGGAUGAUCAGCCACACUGGGACUGAGACACGGCCCAGACUCCUACGGGAGGCAGCAGUGGGGAAUAUUGGACAAUGGGCGAAAGCCCGAUCCAGCAAUGCCGCGUGAGUGAUGAAGGCCUUAGGGUUGCAAAGCUCUUUUACCCGGGAUGAUAAUGACAGUACCGGGAGAAUAAGCGCCGGCUAACUCCGUG